UACGUGUGAGGCGAGCGUUAUUCGUCAUUACUGGGUUUAAAGGGUGCGUAGGCGGGUAAGUAAGUCCGUGGUGAAAUCUCUGAGCUUAACUCAGAAACUGCCGUGGAUACUAUUUGCCUUGAAUAUUGUGGAGGUGAGCGGAAUAUGUCAUGUAGCGGUGAAAUGCUUAGAUAUGACAUAGAACACCAAUUGCGAAGGCAGCUCACUACACAAUCAUUGACGCUGAGGCACGAAAGCGUGGGGAUCAAACAGG
rnacentral:rRNA from 1 species